GACGAACGCUGGCGGCGUGCUUAACACAUGCAAGUCGAACGCGAAAGGGACUUCGGUCCUGAGUAAAGUGGCGCACGGGUGAGUAACGCGUGGAUAAUCUGCCCUUAUGAUUGGAAUAACAGUUGGAAACGGCUGCUAAUACCGGACACGCUCAAAAUGAACUUUUUGAGGAAAGAUGGCCUCUGCUUGCAUGCUAUCGCAUAAGGAUGAGUCCGCGUCCCAUUAGCUUGUUGGCGGGGUAACGGCCCACCAAGGCAACGAUGGGUAGCCGAUUUGAGAGGAUGAUCGGCCACACUGGAACUGAAACACGGUCCAGACUCCUACGGGAGGCAGCAGUGGGGAAUAUUGCGCAAUGGGCGAAAGCCUGACGCAGCGACGCCGCGUGAGGGAUGAAGGUUUUCGGAUCGUAAACCUCUGUCAGAAGGGAAGAAACUACGUUGUGCUAAUCAGCAGCGUACUGACGGUACCUUCAAAGGAAGCACCGGCUAACUCCGUGCCAGCAGCCGCGGUAA
rnacentral:rRNA from 1 species